rnacentral:pre_miRNA from 10 species
AAACACAGCAAGAUAACCUGAAAUAGAGGCAUUGGUGGUGAUUUGAUUCCUUAAGUGCAUCUCUUUGGGGUUGUCUUGAUUGGGUCU